UACGGGGGGAGCAAGCGUUGUUCGGAUUUACUGGGCGUAAAGGGCGCGUAGGCGGGCGCAACAAGUCACUUGUGAAAUCUCCGGGCUUAACCCGGAGCGGUCAAGUGAUACUGUCGUGCUAGAGUGCGGAAGGGGCUACUGGAAUUCUCGGUGUAGCGGUGAAAUGCGUAGAUAUCGAGAGGAACACCAGUGGCGAAGGCGACUCCUGGCCUGUUUCUUGACGCUGAGGCGCGAAAAGCUAGGGGGAGCAAACGGG
rnacentral:rRNA from 1 species